UCCGGUUUGUCACCGGCAGUCUCGCAUGAGUCCCCAACUAAAUGCUGGCAACAUGCGACGAGGGUUGCGCUCGUUGCGGGACUUAACCCAACAUCUCACGACACGAGCUGACGACAGCCAUGCAGCACCUGUGUCCAGGUUCCCGAAGGCACCAAUCCAUCUCUGGAAAGUUCCUGGCAUGUCAAGGGCAGGUAAGGUUCUUCGCGUUGCAUCGAAUUAAACCACAUGCUCCACCGCUUGUGCGGGCCCCCGUCAAUUCCUUUGAGUUUCACCCUUGCGGGCGUACUCCCCAGGUGGAUUACUUAACGCUUUCGCUAAGACGCCGACUGUUUAUCGCCGACAUCGAGUAAUCAUCGUUUACAGCGUGGACUAC
rnacentral:misc_RNA from 1 species